GAUGAACGCUGGCGGCGUGCCUAAUACAUGCAAGUCGAGCGAACGGACGAGAAGCUUGCUUCUCUGAUGUUAGCGGCGGACGGGUGAGUAACACGUGGAUAACCUACCUAUAAGACUGGGAUAACUUCGGGAAACCGGAGCUAAUACCGGAUGAUAUAUUGAACCGCAUGGUUCAAUAGUGAAAGACGGUCUUGCUGUCACUUAUAGAUGGAUCCGCGCUGCAUUAGCUAGUUGGUAAGGUAACGGCUUACCAAGGCGACGAUGCAUAGCCGACCUGAGAGGGUGAUCGGCCACACUGGAACUGAGACACGGUCCAGACUCCUACGGGAGGCAGCAGUAGGGAAUCUUCCGCAAUGGGCGAAAGCCUGACGGAGCAACGCCGCGUGAGUGAUGAAGGUCUUCGGAUCGUAAAACUCUGUUAUUAGGGAAGAACAUAUGUGUAAGUAACUAUGCACAUCUUGACGGUACCUAAUCAGAAAGCCACGGCUAACUACGUG
rnacentral:rRNA from 1 species